rnacentral:rRNA from 1 species
AUUGAACGCUGGCGGCAUGCCUUACACAUGCAAGUCGAACGGUAACAGGUCUUCGGAUGCUGACGAGUGGCGAACGGGUGAGUAAUACAUCGGAACGUGCCUAGUAGUGGGGGAUAACUACUCGAAAGAGUAGCUAAUACCGCAUGAGAUCUACGGAUGAAAGCAGGGGACCUUCGGGCCUUGUGCUACUAGAGCGGCUGAUGGAAGAUUAGGGAGUUGGUGGGGUAAAGGCUUACCAAGCCUUCGAUCUGUAGCUGGUCUGAGAGGACGACCAGCCACACUGGGACUGAGACACGGCCCAUACUCCUACGGGAGGCAGCAGUGGGGAAGUUUGGACAAUGGGCGAAAGCCUGAUCCAGCAAUGCCGCGGGCAGGAUGAAGGCCCUCGGGUUGUAAACUGCUUUUGUACGGAACGAAAAGCCUGGGGCUAAUAUCCCCGGGUCAUGACGGUACCGUAAGAAUAAGCACCGGCUAACUACGUGCCAGCCGCCGCGGUAACAC